GGUGCUGUGGGGUAACGGUUAACCUUAGGCUUGACCAUUGAUCUCCGCUGCAUAAGCAUAUUCUGUAGCCUAGCUGCGAGUUCGAAUCUCGCCAGCGCCA